UACAAUUAUAAUCACUUUAAAGUAAGUAAUGAAUGCAGAGGUCAUAUUUCUGUAUCACUUAAGAAUUCAUGCUUUAUUGUCCAACUCACAAUAUGCAGCCCAUAAUGUAGUGAAUUCAUUGCCACCUUAUAUGGAUAAAAUUAUCCUAAAAUAUUGUCAAAUAAUUCAUGAUAACCAUAUACAGAAUGAAUCAAGCAUCAAAAAUAACAAAGAUGGCUGGUAGAUCCCCAAAUGAUUUGCUAUCAUCAAGUGAGAAACAACCUCUUUGCCAAGCUAAUGAGAGUUCAUCAGGAAGCAGUUAUUACUCAGCAAUACAGCCAGCAAUACAGUUUGAAAGUGAUAGUUCACAUUCACCUGGAACAAUCUUGUUAAGAGCAACAAUCAUGUGAUCACAAGUUAUCUAAACACUAAUAAUGAAAACACAUAACAGUAGAUGGUGAGAAUGAUACAAGAUAGGAGUACACAGCCAAGAAUUAUCAUCUCUGAUACAGGCCACUACCCAAAAUCAGUGAUUCAAGCCUGAUGUCUAUUUUGAUACAGCCCUGACUGGCAUCAAUGUUAAACCAUUUCUGUUGCUCUGGCUAAACCAAGGCUGUCCUCCAGCAUGGUUGUAUCAUGGAUGAUUAUCAUGAUUGUAUCAUACUAGACUCAUUGCUUUGCAGGCUGCCCAAAAUCCAUGAUACAGGAAUGUAUCAGCUGGUCAUGAUUGAUAUCAGUCAUGAUUCAAAUUAAAAUUCUUGGCUGUGUAGGAGUGUACUAGUUAUGCAUAAGGGAAGACAACACAAAACAGCAAUUUAUUGGCAAAGAAAAACAAUAAAAUGGCUGAAGGAAGAGGCAGUACACAAACAGUAAAAGGAAAAAGGUACCAAGAGCUCUCUUCUUCAGAAAAAAAAUCUGAUAGGGGUGAAUCAUCAGAUGGUAGCCGUUGCUCAACACAAAACGCAGUGUCAAUUAGUGGUAAAUAUGUUAAAAGCAUUACCACUCCCAAUGAAAACAGGAUGGAGGAUGAUGAUAAUGAUCAGGAGCAAAAUGAUGAACACGUUCCUGCUCCUGCUACCAGAAGUAAUAUUGUAAGACUGGAAGAAAAUGAAGAGUAUCCAAUCAAAAGACACUGCUUCCGUGACUGCACUAAAACAAUAUUUAGAAAUCAAAAAAGAUGUGCCAUUGUUCCUUUUGUUUUAGCUUUCGUUUUUAUGGUAAUCUUUAUUGUGUGCAUAUUACGUAUCACAGAAAUGUAUUUGUACUACCACUUUGGUGAUGGUGAUAAUAAUACUAAGGAAUUGUUUAUUCCUGCUGGAAGUGUGGUAGAUGUAAAUCUUACAAGUCUGAACAUCAAUGCAAAACACAUAAACAAGCUCAAAGUCACAGUGCCUGAUAAAAGCAGUCCUGUACGAGUUACCACAGCUCAAGAAGACCAUCAAAUCUCUCUCCCAUUCAACAUUAAUAUUACUUUGAACUAUGAGACCGGUAGAUAUAGAGCAAUAACACGCUACUGGAAGUCUCGUGAACAUAUAACAGGUGACAUAACGUUCCUUGGUUUUGAACGCCCUAGAUAUUUACGUAAUUGCUAUAAAUGGGGCAACAUAACAAAUCCUCCAUAUUGCACCUGUGAUGAUGGCAGCGGUAGUAUUAACAAAACAUUUAACAUAUCAGCAUGUUUCAGUGAUGAUGACAGAGGAAAUGACAAACAUAUUAUUUAUAUACGAUUCUGUUUAGUUGAAUCUGAUGACGCUAAUAUUGUUAUUAACAUUACUGAAACAUAUGUUAUACCAAACAAGAUGUCAUACAAAAGUAUCCAUAAUGAUGAUACAGACAACCAGAACUCGGCAGUUCUUCAGUUUCCAAGUCUUCUGUCAGAGCUAUGUAAUCCAUCAAAGCUAUACGUCAAUACUCACUAUAAAAAUACCAAUGAUGACUGCAGUGAAAUGAUUAAACUGGAACUUAAACCUGAUGCUAUGGAGAUAAUGGAAACAGUUGCAUUAGUAAUAACUGCUAUUCUGUCACUCCUUCUAUCCCUCAUGAUGUUUGGAAUUGGGAUCCGUUGCUGCUGCUGCUGCCAUAUUAAAACAGGUUUUUGUGCUUUGGGACUAUUCUAUGAAGAACCUGAGAGACAAGUCAGACAACCUCUUUGCCAAUCAGAUGGGAGUUCAUCAGAAGGUGGUUAUGGCUCAAUAAGAGAGGAAACACCUGAAGAUUUACUACGAAACUCAUGGUCACCUGAAGGCACACCUGUCAGUAGCAUCACUGCUCCAAAUGAAAACAAUGAAGAAGAAGAAAAUGCUAUACAGCAAGAUGCAAUAUUGUAAGACUGGAAGAAAAUGAAGAAUAUCCAAUCAAAGACACUGUUUCCGUGACUGCACUAAAAAAAUAUUUAGGAACCGAAAAAAAUGUGCCAUUGUUCCUUUUAUUUUAGCUUUGGUUUUUAUGGUAAUCUUCAUUGUGUGCAUAUUACGUAUCACAGAAAUGUAUUGGUACUAUCACUUUGGUGACAAUACUGAGGAAUUAUUCAUUCCUGUUGGAAGUGUGGUAGAUGUGAAUCUUACAAGUCUAAACAUCAGUGCAAAGCAUGCAAACAAGCUCAAAGUCACAGUGCCUGAUAAAAGCAGUCCUGUACGAGUUACCACAGCUCGUGAAGACCAUCAAAUCUCUUUCCCAUUGAACAUUAACUUUAUUUUGAACUUUGAGAAGAGUUGUACAGCAAUAAUACGUUAUUGGAAGUCUCAUAAACAUAUAUCAGGUGACAUAAUACUUACUCUGGAUUAUCAAACCCCUGGUGUACAUAUUUGCUAUCAGUGGGGCAGCAUAACAAAUCCUCCAUCAUAUGGCACAUGUUGUGAUGAUUGUAUUCAUAUAGAUAACACGAAUACACUUAACAUAUCAAAUUAUUUCAAUGAUGAUGAUAGAGGAAAUGACAAACAUAUUAUUUAUAUACAAUUCUGUUUAGAUAUGUUGAGAAGAGAAUUUGAUCAAGCUACCAUUUUUAUUAACAUUACUGAAACAUAUGCUAUACCAAACAAGACAUCAUACAAAAGUAUUUAUAAUGAUGAUACAGACAACCAGAACUCGGCAGUUCUUCAGUUUCAGAGUCUUCUUUUAGGGCCCUCCAAACCAUUAUUAUACGUCAAUACUCACUAUAGAAAUACCAAUGAUGACUGCAGUGAAAUGAUUAAACUGGAAAUCCAGCCUGAUGUGGAGAUAAUAGAAACAGUUGCAUUAGUAAUAACUGCUAUCCUGUCACUCCUUCUAUCCCUCAUGAUGUUUGGAAUUGGGAUCCGUUGCUGCUGCUGCCAUAUUAAAACAGGUUUUUGUGCUUUAGGACUAUUCUAUGAAGAACAAUAAGAAUUUUUGGUCUAAUUACAUUAUUGAGUGAUUGUAUCAAACUCUUGAUUGUAUUUAAUGCUAUUAUUAUGCACUCUUGCUUUUAAACUGUUUGAAUUGCUACAAUUAUAAUGAUUUUGAA